CCGCUAUGAUGAAAACGUUCCAAAAUCAUUCGUAGUUUCCACCAGAGGUUGAAAGACCCAUGCUGGCUCAAAGUACCUUCCUUGGAUGUCUGAGCGA
ensembl:snoRNA SNORD14 Small nucleolar RNA SNORD14